ensembl:lncRNA
GUUAGAUCCAAUGCAAUAUCUUUUUUCCUGUGAGUGUUUCUGAGCCAUUUCAGAUGCAUCCCACUAGCUGGGAGCGGCCCUACAUUGGCCGGGCAGCCACCUCCACAAAGGGAACAGCAUGGUGCCAUCCCAAAAUAUUCCCCGUGGCAGGAGAUGUGAUAAGAUGGAUGGAACGAAUUCUCUUUUUUUCUGUGAGUGUUUCUGAGCCAUUUUGGAAGCAUCCCAUUAACUCUGAUCAUUGGUACAUUGGCCCAAAUGCUGCCUCCACUAUAGGAGUGGCAUGGUGCCAUGCCAGAAUCCUCCCUUGUCGCAGCAAAUUUGGUAAGGUAGAUCAAUCACAUUUUCUUUCUUCCUGUGAGCCAUUCUGAGUCAUUUUGGAAGCAUCCCAUUAGCUGGGCACGGUCGUACAGUGGCCCAGAAUCACCCUCCACUUCGGAAGCGGCAUGGUGCCAUCCAGAAAUAUUCCCCCAUGGCAGGAGAUGUGAUAAGGUGGAUCGAACGCAUUCUCAUUUUUCCUUUGAGUGGUUUGGAGACAGUUCAGAAGCAUCCCAUUACCUAGGAGUGCUGUAUGGUGCCACGGAAGCUGCCUCAAUUACAGGAGCAGAAUGGGGCCAACCCAGAAUUAACCACCAUGGCUUGAGAUGUCAUAUGGUAUACCAAAAGCAUUCUCUUUUUUCCUGUGAGCAGUUCCAAGUCAUUUCACAAGCAUCCCAUUAGCUGGGAGAGGCCAUACUGUGGCCUGGAAGCCACCUCCAAUAUGGGAGCAGCUUGGUGCCAUGCCAGAAUCAUCCCCCUUGGCAGGAGAUGUGGUAAUGUAGAUCAAAUGCAUUGUCUUUUUUCCUGUGAGUGGUUCUGAGCCAUUUUGGAAGCAUCCAAUUAGAUGGGAGAGGCCUUAUGUCAACCUGGAAUGUGCCUCAAUUACGGGCACAUGGUGUUGCCAGGCCAGAAUCUUCCCCCAUGGCAGAAAAUGUGGCAAGGCAUAUCAAAUGCAUUCCCUUUAUUCCCAUGAGCUGUUCUGAGCCAUUUUGAAACAUCCCUUUAGCUGGGAGCAGCCGUAUGGUGGCUCAGAAUCCACCUCCACUAUGGUAGCAGUAAGGUGCCUUGCCACAAUCCUCCUCCAUGGCAGGAGAUGUAAGGUAGAUUGAAAGCAAUCUCUUUUUUCCUGUGACUGGUUCUGAGCCAUUUUGGAAGCAUUGUAUUAUAUGGGGGCGGCCAUUUGUUGGCACAUAAGUGGCCUCCACAUCUGGAGCAGGCUGGUGCCCUCCUGAAAUAUUCCCCUGGGGCAGGAGAUGUACUAAGGUGGAUCUAAUACAUUAUCUUUUAUGCUGUGUAUGGUUCUGAGCCAUUUCAGAACCAUCCUAUUAGUUGUGAGCAUUGGUACAAUGGCCUGGAAGCCGCCUCCACUGUGGGACUGGCAUGGUGCCAGGGCAGAAUCCUCCCCUGUGGCAGAAGAUGUGGUAAAGUGGAUUGAACGGAUUCUCUUUUUUAGUGUGAGUGGGUCUGAGACAUUUUGGAUGCAUCCCAUUAGCUGGGAGCGGCCAUAUGUUGGCCUGGAAGCCCCCUCCAGUAUGGGAGCAGCAUGGUGCCAACCCAAAAUAUUCCCACAUGGCAGAAGAUGUGUUAAGGUGCAUGGAACACAUUCUCUUUUUUCCUCUGAGCAGUUCUGAGCCAUUUUGGAAGCAUCCCAUUAGCUGUGAGCAUAGGUACAGUGACCCAGAAGCCACUUCCACUAUGGGAGCAGCGUGGUGCCAGCCCAGAAUCCUCCCCGUGGCAGGAGAUAUGGUGUGGAUUGAGUACAUUCUUUUUUUCCUGUAUGUGGUUUUGAGCUACUUCAGAAGCAUCCCAUUAGCUAGGAAUGGCUGAAUGAUGGCCCAGAGGCCGCAUACAUUAUGGGAGUGGAGUGGCACCACCCCAGACUCAACCUCCAUGGCAGGAGAUAUAGUACAGUGGACAGAAAGCAUUCUCAUUUCUGAUGAGGGUUCUGGGCCAUUUCCUGGGCAUCAUAUUAGCUGUGAGCAUUGGAAUGGCAGGCCUGAUCCACCUCCAUUAUGGGAGCAGCAUAGUGCCAGCCCAGAAUCCUCCCCCGUGGCAGGAGAUGUGGUAACGUGUAUCAAAUGCAUUCUCUUUUAUCCUUUGUGGGGUUCUGAGCCAUUUUGGAAGCAUCCUGUUAGCUGUGAGCAGCCCCUCAGUGGCACGUAACCUGCCUCCAGUUUGGGAGCAGACUGGUGCCAUCCCGAAAUAUCCUGUGGCAGGAGAUGUGAUAAGGUGGAUCUAACGCAUUAUCAUUUUUCCUGUGAGUGGUUCUGAGCCAUUUCAGAAGCAUCCCAUUAGCUGUGAGCAUCGGUAAGUUGGCCCAGAAGCCGCCUCCACUAUGGGACUGGGGUGGUGCCAGGGCAGAAUCUGCCCCUGUGGGAGGAGGUGGGGUAAGCUAGAUCGAAUGCAUUCUCUUUUUCCCUGUGAGUCGUUCUGAGUCUUUUUGGAAGUAUCUAAUUAGCUGGGAGUGGGCUUAUGGCAAACUAGAAUGUGCCUCCAUUAUGGGAGCAGGGUGGUGCCAGCCCAGGAUCCUCCGCUAUGGCAGGAAAUGUGGCAAGGUAGAUCGAAUGCAUUCUCUUUUUUCAUGUGAGUGGUUCUGAGCCAUUUUGGAAGCAUCCCAUUAGCUGGGAGCGGCUAUACGGUGGCCCAGAAUCCAUCUCCACUACGGGAGCAGCGUUUUGCCAUUCUGAAAUAUUCCCCUGUGCCAGGAGAUGUGGUAAGUUAGAUUGAAAGCAAUAUUUUUUUUCCUGUUAGUGGUUCUGAGCCAUUUCAGAAGCAUCCAAUUAGCUGGGAGUGGCCUUAUGGCAACCUGGAAUGUGCCUCCAUUACUGGAGCAUGGUUGUGGCAGCACAGAAUCCUCCUCUGUUGCAUUAAAUGUGGUAAGGUACAUGGAAUGCAUUCUCUUUUUCCCUGUGAGCAUUUCUGAGACAUUUUGGAAGAAUCCAAUUAGCUGUGAGCACCGAUACGGUGGCCUGGAAUCUGCCUCCACUAUGGGACUGGCAUGGUGCCAUGCCAGAAUCCUCCCCCAUGGCAGGAAAUGUGGUAAGGUAGAUCUAACACAUUCUCUUUUUUCCUGUGAGUGGUUCUGAUCCAUUUUAGUAGCAUCCAAUUAGCUGAGAGCAGCCAUACAGUGGCCCGGAAGCCCACUCCAAUAUGGGAGUGGCAUGGUGCCAUCCCGAAAUAUACCCCCGUGGCAGGAGAUGUGGUAAGUUGGAUCGAACGCAUUCUCAUUUUUCCUGUAUGCAGUUCUGAGCCAUUUCUGAAGCAUCCCAUUAGCUGGGAGGGGCAAUAGGGUGGCCAGGAUUCAACCUCCACUACAGGAGGGGCAC